CCAUGAUCUAGUGAAGGCGGUCCAGUAGCCUGAGUCAAGUGAAUUUAAAAGAAAGAAACUUCUGAAAAUACCGAACUAAAAAAUUCCUGGAAUGAGAGGAAGGAUAAAUUAUUCGAGGUGCCUAUGAAUCUCAUCUGAGAAGCACAUGCUAAUCAGAAGUCAUGACUAAAGGCUGAGGCCAAGCAAAUGAACCUUCAUUCCUUCCUGUUUAGCUCAAAUGCCUGCUUGGAACCGAAACGAGGACCUCCCAGCUCAGGCCUCAGGUCUUCCUAGGCUGUUAUUGCAAGGAGAUAAAGGAGCUUUUGUCUUCGUCUUAGCUAAACACGAUCUGGUUACAGGCUCCUCUCCCUGGUUUCUUGCCUCUGCUAUAUGGAACAUCUGCUUAUGUAAAAAUAUAAUCAACAAGGGUUCACAAAGACUUUCUUGUCUGCCGAGGUGGAACAAGGAUCUCAGGCUUCACCCCCAAACUCAACUUGGCUUACGUGUUCUUGCUCAGAUAAUUAACUCUCCAAUUAAACUCAGGUAAACCUCCCUCCUUAUGGAAAGGGAUGCUCCCUAGCUGUUGACCAUAAGAAGUCAAACUCUCUGUAUAGAACCAACAACGGUGAGUAAAACAGAGUGAAUUUCUCAAGCACAGCCUCUGAGACUGAUUCAGGUCCCUCAUCCAACAAAUGGAAAUAAUAAAACAGAUCCUGUCUACCGUCAUGAGGAUGUUUCAAGAACCUGAGAGCAAUAAAUAUUUAAAGCUGGAAACUCAGAGUCCAUCUGUCCCACCCCUCAUUUUAUGGAUGAAGGCAGUGAGGCCCGACAGACCAAGUGACCACUGAAGGUACAGCUAGGGAGGGGCACAGCCACCACCUGAACCCAAGGUUCGCCCCUGUGCUCUUUCCGCCGGACCACACUGUUCCCACGGGGAAUGUAAGAUUGUGAUAUA